GGAGCUGAAGGAGGAGCCGGAGGAGCUGAUGAGCGACAGCUGCGGCUCCCCCCCCAGUGACGUCACCUCGGAGCCGCCCUGGGCCUCCUGCGCAGGUCAGGGGGGAAAUCGGGGCAAAAUCCGGGGAUUUGGGGAAAAAAUGGGGAUUUUGGGACAUUUUGGGUGGAAUUUGGGAAAAAUUGUGGAUUUUUGGGAAUUUUGGGUGGAAUUUGGGAAAUUUUGUGUCAUUUUUGGGUGGAAUUUGGGAAAUUUUGGGUCAUUUUGGGGGAUUUUGGGGACAUUUUGGUUGGAAUUUGGGAAUUUUGGGUCAUUUUUGGGUGGAAUUUGGGGGAAUUUUGUGUCAUUUUUGGGUGGAAUUUGGGGGAUUUUGGGGGGAUUUUGGGGGAUUUUGGGGACAUUUUGGGUGGAAUUUGGGGAAUUUGGGAAUUUUUGGGUGGAAUUUGGGGGAUUUUGGGUCAUUUUGGGGGAUUUUGGGGACAUUUUGGGUGGAAUUUGGGAGAUUUUGGGAAAAAAUGGGGAUUUUGGGGUCAUUUUGGGUGGAAUUUGGGGAAUUUUGGGUGGAUUUUGGGGGAUUUUGGGGGAAUUUUUGGGUGGAAUUUGGGGAAUUUUGGGUGGAAUUUGGGAAAAAUGGGGAUUUUUGGGACAUUUUGGGUGGAAUUGGGGGGAUUUUGGGGAAAAUUGGGGAUUUUUGGGGACAUUUUGGGUGGAAUUUGGGGGAUUUUGGGUCAUUUUGGGGGAUUUUGGGGACAUUUUGGGGGGAAUUUGGGAGAUUUUGGGAAAAAAUGGGGAUUUUGGGGUCAUUUUGGGUGGAAUUUGGGGAAUUUUGGGUCAUUUUGGUGGAUUUUGGGGGAUUUUGGGUGGAAUUUGGGGAAUUUUGGGAGAUUUUGGGGGGAUUUUGGGGGAAUUUUUGGGACAUUUUGGGUGGAAUUUGGGGAAUUUUGUGUCAUUUUUGGGUGGAAUUUGGGAAAUUUUGGGUCAUUUUGGGGGAUUUUGGGGACAUUUUGGGUGGAAUUUGGGAAUUUUGGUUGGAAUUUGGGGGAUUUUGGGUCAUUUUGGGUGGAAUUUGGGGGAUUUUGGGGGAAAUUUUGGUGAUUUUUUGGGGGAUUUUGGGUGGAUAUUUGGGAAUUUUGGGUGGAAUUUGGGGGAUUUUGGGUGGAAUUUGGGGGAUUUUGGGUCAUUUUGGUGGAUUUUGGGAGAUUUUGGGAGAUUUUGGGUGGAAUUUGGGGAAUUUUGGGGGAAAUUUUGGUGAUUUUGGGGAAUUUUGGGUGGAUUUUUGGGGGAUUUGGGGGGAAUUUUGGAGGAAUUUGGGAAAACUUGGGAAUUUUGGGUGGAAUUUGGGAGGAUUUUGGGAAUAUUUGGGGAAAAUUUGGGGAAAAUUUGGGGGAUUUUGGGUGGAUUUUGGUUGAUUUUUGUUAAUUUUGAUUAAUUCUAACUCAAUUUUAAUUAAUUUUCCCCGCUUUUAAUUAAUUUUCCCCAACUUCUAUUAAUUUCCCCCGACUCCCAUUAAUUUCCCCCAACUUUAAUUAAUUUUUAUCAAUUUUAAUUAAUCCCCUUAAUUAACCCCCCCCUC
rnacentral:lncRNA from 1 species